rnacentral:misc_RNA from 1 species
GUGGGGUAGCCUUCCUUUUCCCUUAAACCCCAAUCAAAGUUUGAACAGAAUUUAGUUGCGGAUCACUGGUCUUGAUAUCAAGAGAUGUUACCAUCUGAGCUUGCUGGUGCCUACAAAACUUAAUUAUACUGCCAUGCUGUUUAGGCACAUUCUUCCCAUCAAUGAUUUGCAGUAAUCCUAGCAAACAGCUUAAAUUUGCCUUAUAUUUGAUUUACUAUUUGACUUCUUUACCUCUAAUAAUAUAUGCUUUCAGGAACUUACUCUAGAAGGGAUGG